AACCACAUAGAGCCGAGUUCUAGGACCCCUAUGGUCCGGAAGCCGGGGAACCAUGACUUCCCUGGGGUGAACGGGGCGCAAGGAGCGCGCAAGCGCAGGAGCGUCCUAGAGGUGACUUCCCGCACCGAACCCGACAGCUAACCCGGUAGGCGCAACUGGAGAUAUGG
rnacentral:sRNA from 2 species